rnacentral:rRNA from 1 species
GACGAACGCUGGCGGCGUGCUUAAUACAUGCAAGUGGAGCGACGAACCAGGCUUCGGCCUGGGGCAGAGCCGCGAACGGGUGAGUAACACGUGGGUAACCUGCCUCGAUGACCGGGACAACCCGGGGAAACCCGGGCUAAUACCGGAUGUGCUGUCCCCACAUCAGUGGAGACAGGAAAGGAAGCUUCGGCCUCCGCAUCGAGAUGGGCCCGCGGCCCAUUAGCUUGUUGGUGUGGUAACGGCUCACCAAGGCUGCGAUGGGUAGCUGGUCUGAGAGGACGAUCAGCCACACUGGGACUGAGACACGGCCCAGACUCCUACGGGAGGCAGCAGUAGGGAAUCUUGCGCAAUGCGCGAAAGCGUGACGCAGCAACGCCGCGUGGGGGAAGAAGGCCUUCGGGUUGUAAACCGUCUUUCAGCUCCGACGAAGCGAAAGUGACGGUAGGAGCAGAAGAAG